UACAGAGGUCUCAAGCGUUGUUCGGAUUCAUUGGGCGUAAAGGGUGCGUAGGCGGCGGGGCAAGUCAGGUGUGAAAUCCCGGAGCUCAACUCCGGAACUGCACUUGAUACUGCCUUGCUAGAGUACUGGAGAGGAGACUGGAAUUUACGGUGUAGCAGUGAAAUGCGUAGAGAUGUGGAGGAACACCAGUGGCGAAGGCGGCUUUUUGGUCUGUAACUGACGCUGAGGCGCGAAAGCGUGGGGAGCAAACAGG
rnacentral:rRNA from 1 species